GACGGAGGGUGCUAGCGUUGUUCGGAAUGACUGGUCGUAUAGGGCGCUUAGGCGGCUCGUGAAGUCGGGUGUGAAAGCCCGGGGCUCAACCCCGGAACGGCAUCCGAUACUGGCGGGCUUGAGACCGGGAGAGGAGGGUGGGAUACCCAGUGUAGAGGUGAAAUUCGUAGAUAUUGGGUGGAACACCGGUGGCGAAAGCGGCUCUCUGGCCCGGAUCUGACGCUGAGGCGCGAAAGCGUGGGGAGCAAACAGG
rnacentral:rRNA from 1 species